UUUUUGUUCAGUAUAUGUCAGUGCUGUGUGUGUGUGAGAGAGACGUAACAGUGUUUGUGUUCUAUGUUAGUACUGUGAAUUUGUGAUGUAACGCUUCAUCUCAUUGCAGUGCGGUACUGUAUUUCAGGUUAACUGUGUUGCGGUACUGUAUUUUAGGUUAUAACUGUGUUGUGGUACUGUAUUUUAGGUUAUAACUGUGUUGUGGUACUGUAUUUUAGGUUAUAACUGUGUUGUGGUACUGUAUUUUAGGUUAUAACUGUGUUGUGGUACUGUAUUUUAGGUUAUAACUGUUGCGGUACUCUAUUUUAGGUUAUAACCGUUGCGGUACUGUAUUUUAGGUUAUAACUGUGUUGCGGUACUGUAUUUUAGGUUAUAACUGUGUUGCGGUACUGUAUUUUAGGUUAUAACUGUGUUGCGGUACUGUAUUUUAGGUUAUAACUGUGUUGUGGUACUGUAUUUUAGGUUAUAACUGUGUUGCGGUACUGUAUUUUAGGUUAACUGUUGCGGUACUGUAUUUUAGGUUAUAACUGUGUUGCGGUACUGUAUUUUAGGUUAACUGUUGCGGUACUGUAUUUUAGGUUAUAACUGUGUUGCGGUACUGUAUUUUAGGUUAUAACUGUGUUGCGGUACUGUAUUUUAGGUUAACUGUGUUGCGGUACUGUAUUUUAGGUUAUAACUGUGUUGUGGUACUGUAUUUUAGGUUAUAACUGUUGCGGUACUGUAUUUUAGGUUAACUGUUGCGGUACUGUAUUUUAGGUUAUAACUGUGUUGCGGUACUGUAUUUUAGGUUAUAACUGUGUUGCGGUACUGUAUUUUAGGUUAUAACUGUGUUGCGGUACUGUAUUUUAGGUUAUAACUGUUGCGGUACUGUAUUUUAGGUUAACUGUGUUGCGGUACUGUAUUUUAGGUUAACUGUGUUGCGGUACUGUAUUUUAGGUUAACUGUGUUGCGGUACUGUAUUUUAGGUUAUAACUGUGUUGCGGUACUGUAUUUCAGGUUAACUGUGUUGCGGUACUGUAUUUCAGGUUAUAACUGUGUUGCGGUACUGUAUUUCAGGUUAUAACUGUGUUGCGGUACUGUAUUUCAGGUUAACUGUGUUGCGGUACUGUGUUGCGGUACUGUAUUUUAGGUUAUAACUGUGUUGCGGUACUGUAUUUUAGGUUAACUGUGUUGCGGUACUGUGUUGCGGUACUGUAUUUUAGGUUAUAACUGUUGCAGUACUGUAUUUCAGGUUAACUGUGUUGCGGUACUGUAUUUCAGGUUAUAACUGUGUUGCGGUACUGUAUUUCAGGUUAUAACUGUGUUGCGGAACUGUAUUUUAGGUUAACUGUGUUGCGGUACUGUAUUUCAGGUUAUAACUGUGUUGCGGUACUGUAUUUCAGGUUAUAACUGUGUUGCGGUACUGUAUUUCAGGUUAUAACUGUGUUGCGGUACUGUAUUUUAGGUUAUAACUGUGUUGCGGUACUGUAUUUUAGGUUAUAACUGUGUUGCGGUACUGUAUUUUAGGUUAACUGUGUUGCGGUACUGUGUUGCGGUACUGUAUUUUAGGUUAUAACUGUGUUGCGGUACUGUAUUUUAGGUUAACUGUGUUGCGGUACUGUGUUGCGGUACUGUAUUUUAGGUUAACUGUGUUGCGGUACUGUAUUUCAGGUUAUAACUGUGUUGCGGUACUGUAUUUUAGGUUAACUGUGUUGCGGUACUGUAUUUCAGGUUAACUGUGUUGCGGUACUGUAUUUCAGGUUAUAACUGUGUUGCGGUACUGUAUUUUAGGUUAUAACUGUGUUGCGG